rnacentral:rRNA from 1 species
UACGUAGGAAGCAAGCGUUGUCCGGAAUUACUGGGCGUAAAGCGCGUGUAGGCGGUACGACAAGUCUGCUGUGAAAGCGCCCGGCUUAACCGGGCGAGGUCGGUGGAAACUGUCGCACUGGAGGACGGUAGAGGGGGGUGGAAUUCCACGUGUAGCAGUGAAAUGCGUAGAGAUGUGGAGGAACACCGAUGGCGAAGGCAGCCCCCUGGGUUAACACUGACGCUCAGGCACGAAAGCGUGGGGAGCAAACAGG